rnacentral:rRNA from 1 species
GUCUAAGACAAUAACACCCUGAACGCGCCCAAUCUCAUCUGUUCUUGGAAGCUAAGCAGGGUCGGGCCUGGUUUGUACUUGGAUGGUAGAAAAGGGCCACAUCUAUUUUAACCU